AUGGCGUGCUCUCGAACGGUGGAGGACGGACGGCGGCGCGGCCUCACGGGGCUAGAUGGGGAGGAUGGACGGCGGCGUGCUGACGAGGACAUGGUGAGGGGCGUCAGGGGGUCGGGGGCAGGUGGCGGCGUGGCCGCCGCUGCCGCAGCAGCCUUUGACGCCCGCGUGGCCACGUGGUACCCCGGGGUGUCAUCCGGAUCGCCGUCCUCACGGAGGAUCGCCUACUUCGGCGGCAACUUGAUCUCCGGCAGCGAGGGAGGGUGCGGCCAGCGCGGGCGCCGCUGCCGGGUGCGCACCGUGGCUGCCGACACGCCUGCGGCGAUCGUGCGGUGGAGGCGGUGCGCGAAGACGAUUGCUGCGGCCCGUCAGGUCGAGGGUCAUGCUGGCCGCUGGAAGGCGGAAGGCGGCCAUGAUCUCCCAAUAGUCCUUCCCGCGCCAAAAGUUCCGGCGGCCUCCAAUGUUGUGCCGGCCGCCGGGGUGGUUCUGGAGCUCCUCCUCCGUCGCGCCGGGCCCCGGCGAGCCGCCGAUGUCGUCGUCGUCGUCGCCGCCGCCUGCCCCGUCAGCGCUGCUGCUGCCGUGGUAGAACGUCAUCGUCGGUGGGCGUCAGAGGGAUGGUGGAGCAUGGGGCGUCAGGGUAACGGGGGAUGCGUCGGGUGCCGGUGGGUGUUUGUGGGACGGGGCGUCACCUUAUAUAGCCACGGGUUCGGGGCGUCGGUGGGUGUCGGUGGGUGUCGGCAGGCGAGGACGCGCGGCAGGCGAGGAGGCGGCCGCGGUGGCGUGCUGCAGGCGGGCGCGGCAGGCAAGGAGGCGGGCGCGACAGGCGAGGAGGCGGCCGCGUCACGUGCGCGCGGCCGGCCGGGGCGGUUCAAGUUUUUUUUCUGGCGGGCGGGGUUUCACCUUUUUUUUCGAGCGGGCGGGGUACCACUUAUUUUGCGGGCGGGCGGGCGGGCGGGCAGAGAUAUUGGGCAAUCUCGGCCGUCCUUGCGUGGGCACGGAGGGGGCUACCGAAGCGCAAGUGAAAGAGAAAAGGGCUACAAUCUCAGGAAGGCAGCGCUGUCUUGUCCACCUCGCAUCAAAAGACGAUCGUGGCGGCGCACCAAAGACAAAACCCUAGCUCAAUCCCGCCGCCACCCCAGAUUCUUCCUGUGUGACAGUUCCAUGGCGCUGUGCUCUCCCUCUAACACUCUCCGGUGUCGGUGCGGAUGCAGGUGCCAUGAUCUCGAACCCCGUGAUUCGCCGCCGGCGGACUCUCCGCUUCCCACCUCUCAGGGUGGAUCCAACAAUGGAGCCAAAGCUGAUGUUGCUAGGAAGAAGGAUGUUGAUCAUUUGUUGGCAAAAUUAGAGAAGGAGGGAGUGGAGAUAGAUGGCAACAUAUCUAGUAUUAUUGAUGAUGAGAUAGCUAGAAUUAAAGCUGAAGCUGAGAGGGAGAACAUGAAUGAAGAAAAAAGGAAGAGGACUCAAGCACUGCUCACUAUUGCAGGUGUUGUUGUUGGUUUCGUCGUGGGUGUGAAAUGUGAAAUAGAUAAAUACCGUAAGGCAUUUGACAAGAUAUAUGGAAGACCCAGUAGAAUGAAGGCUCAAGAAAAGCUCGGCUUUGAAUUAACAAAGCCAUCAACCGGCCACGAUUACAUCUAA
rnacentral:rRNA from 1 species